rnacentral:rRNA from 1 species
CCUACGGGAGGCAGCAGUGAGGAAUAUUGGUCAAUGGGCGAGAGCCUGAACCAGCCAAGUCGCGUGAGGGAGUACUGCCCUAUGGGUUGUAAACCUCUUUUGUCGGGGAGCAAAAGCCGGACGUGUCCGGCUGUGAGCGUACCCGAAGAAAAAGCAUCGGCUAACUCCGUGCCAGCAGCCGCGGUAAUACGGAGGAUGCGAGCGUUAUCCGGAUUUAUUGGGUUAAACGGGUGCGCAGGCGGAUUGUUAAGUCAGCGGUAAAAUCGUGGGGCUCAACCCCAUCCAGCCGUUGAAACUGGGGAUCUAGAGUGUGCGAGAGGUAUGCGGAAUGCGUGGUGUAGCGGUGAAAUGCAUAGAUAUCACGCAGAACCCCGAUUGCGAAGGCAGCAUACCGGUGCACAACUGACGCUCAGGCACGAAAGCGUGGGUAUCGAACAGGAUUAGAUACCCUUGUAGUC